CAUCAUUAUCACUGGUUUGGUGGAAAAAUGCCUGGUCAGUCCACAGAAAUAGAAAUCAAGAUUAAAUUGCCACGCGUAUCAAACACUAGGUGCACAGAACAGCAGAAAUGGAAUUCGUUAUAAAAUUAUUAAGGAUGAAAAAGGCAAAGUGGGUUUGGAUCCGUUUUAAGUGAGAAAAACAGCGUUGAUUGGAGGAGGGUGUGUGGAUUAAGGCGGUGGUGGUGGUGGCGGCGGCGGCGGCGACGGUAGACAAAGGAGUGAAAAGGGCAUGUUGGAAAUAUGAUAGGUAAUAAGACAUGUUCUUAGUUUCUCUCAUUUGUUGGCUCGCUUCGUCUCCCGUUUCAUCAUAGGUGAUUCAGCUUGUGUAUUGAAGGGACUUGAUGUGUUAGUGUAAUGGUGUCCUUUAAAAGCAUUGUUCGCGAGCUUAAGAAGAUGAAAGAUGGGAUGGGCUGUAUAUCGAGGAGGGCAGUGGAAGGCAAGCGCAAAAAAAGUCAUAUAGCUCCUGAUCAAGGGCUGCCCCCAUCUGAUUCAAAUCAACAGAGUCAGUGGCCAAAUCUACCACCUGAGUUGCUUCUAGACAUUAUUAGGAGGGUGGAGGAGAGUGAGACCUCGUGGCCGGCUCGUGCAGUGGUUGUUUUUUGUGCUUCAGUUUGUCGGUCGUGGAGGGAAGUUGCCAAGGAAAUUGUUAAAACCCCUGAGCAGUGUGGAAGGCUUACAUUUCCCAUCUCACUUAAGCAGCCUGGUCCUCGAGAAUUUCCCAUACAAUGCUUUAUCAGAAGGGAUAGAGCAACUUCUACAUAUCUCUUGUUCGUCAGUAUGAUGCCUUCUGAGGAUGGAAAUGAUAAGUUGAUGUUGGCAGCCAGAAAGGUUAGAAGGGUGACAUGCACAGAAUUUGUGAUAUCUUUGGUUGCUAAUGAUUUUUCUCGGGUCAGCAGUGCAUACGUUGGUAAACUGAGGUCUAACUUCAUGGGUACCAAGUUCUCCAUAUAUGACAACCAACCUCCAUGUGGUAUGGCAAUUCAGCCAACUAAUUGUAUGAGUCACAGAUUUCAUUCUAAGCAGGUCUCUCCAAGAGUACCUGCAUAUAACUACAGAAUAGGCGCCAUCUCCUAUAAGCUCAAUGUUCUGCGUGCUAGAGGACCAAGGAGAAUGAAUUGCAUCAUGAACUCUAUUCCUUCCUCUUCCAUUGAGGAGGGAGGUACUGCCCCAACACCAUCAUCAUUUCCACAGUCUCUUAAAGAGCACAUUUCUUCCUUUCCAGGUUUGAAGGAAAAGGAACCAGUGAUACAUAACAGGGCCCAAGGUUUGCCAGUUUCACGAGGAUUGACAAUGGGCUCUGUCAAGCCGCUGGUUCUUAAAAAUAAGGCUCCUAGAUGGCAUGAGCAGCUACAAUGCUGGUGCCUAAAUUUCAAAGGGCGUGUCACAGUGGCUUCUGUUAAGAAUUUCCAGCUUGUGGCAGCUAUUGACCCAACCCAAAAUGUGCCAUCUGCAGAGCAGGAGAAGGUUAUUCUGCAAUUUGGAAAAAUUGGAAAGGAUAUCUUCACCAUGGAUUAUUGCUACCCACUUUCUGCCUUUCAAGCCUUUGCAAUCUGCCUCAGCAGCUUUGACACAAAACUAGCGUGCGAAUGACAUUAUUGCAGUGCUAGAAAUGUCUGCCAUUGUCUCCCUAAUUGCAUUCUUAAAUUAAGCUGUUAUUUCACCGGUGUAAUCAGAAAGUGUUUUCUUUAAUAGCUUAGCUUCAGUGGAAUCCAUUGGGUUGCUGAGUGAUAGUGUCAACCAUCUCCUGAGAUUUGUCAUGAAGAGUCUUGUGCUGAGAAAUGUUGAUUCUCUAUUCAUGGAACAAACAUUGCUGGGAAAGUAACUUGGAUUCUUAGCAGGUGAAACUCAAGGUUUAAUGAUUGGUUCCACUAAUAUUGCACCAGGUAUGUUAAUGAUUUAAUCUUGAUAUGUCAAUCAAAAGCUUUCGAACCUAUGCUCUCUUUCUUAGGUGCCGCCACUAUUGCCAAACUACUCCUACGAGGCAUCGCUUGGACUCUUCUUAGCAACAGCAGUCUCUAAUGCUGUACUAACAUGGCAAUUUUGCGUGUCAUAAUAACAAUACUUAGGCUUUGAAUGGAAAUGGUAGCUGAAUGUCAUAAA